rnacentral:tRNA from 1 species
AGCCUUGUAUUCAUUUAUGUGAUUAUAGAAUGCAAUUCUAUAGGGGUGAGGUUGAAUACUUACCAAGGCCU